AACUCUGUGCGUUGGAUCACUCAGCUCGUGUGUCGAUGAAGAGUGCAGCCAACUGUGUGGAUUAAUGUAAAUCGCAGACUGCUUUGAACACUGACCUCUUGAAGGCAUAUUGUGGCCGAAGGCUUGCCUACGGCCACGUCUGGCUGAGGGUCG
rnacentral:rRNA from 1 species